rnacentral:rRNA from 1 species
AACGAACGCUGGCGGCAUGCCUAACACAUGCAAGUCGAACGAGACCUUCGGGUCUAGUGGCGCACGGGUGCGUAACGCGUGGGAACCUGCCCUUAGGUUCGGAAUAACUCCCCGAAAGGGGUGCUAAUACCGGAUAAUGUCUUCGGACCAAAGAUUUAUCGCCUUUGGAUGGGCCCGCGUUGGAUUAGCUAGUUGGUAGGGUAAAAGCCUACCAAGGCGACGAUCCAUAGCUGGUCUGAGAGGAUGAUCAGCCACACUGGGACUGAGACACGGCCCAGACUCCUACGGGAGGCAGCAGUGGGGAAUAUUGGACAAUGGGCGAAAGCCUGAUCCAGCAAUGCCGCGUGAGUGAUGAAGGCCUUAGGGUUGAAAAGCUCCUUUACCCGGGAUGAUAAUGACAGUACCGGGAGAAUAAGCUCCGGCUAACUCCGUG